UAGUGCCAAAAGGAGGCGGAAGGCGUAACGUAGGAACUGUUUCCGCCGUUAUUGAAUUGGAAACGAGAUGCAAUGAUGUAAAGCUGCGUUUGCAGGUUUUCCUUUAAAAGAUGCCGCUUCACAGAUACCCUCCUCGCAUCUGGGAUUCUCUGAAGUUAAAACAGGGGAUUUAUGCCCGGCUGCCCGAGCACUACCUCCGUACGCUGCAGGAAAGCCAACCACCCACGCCUGUCCACUGGAAACCCCAUGGUGUUAAAUACAAAGUAAAUGCCAAGACGGGAGAAAGGGAGCGAGUUCAGGAUGUACCAAUUCCUGUUUACUACCCGCCAGAGUCUCAGAAGGGUUUGUGGGGAGGUGAAGGUUGGAUACAGGGAUACAGAUAUUCCAGCAAUAACAAGCUUUCUACUCGAGUGAAAAAGGUCUGGAAGCCUCAGCUUUUUACCCGGGACCUGUACAGUGAAAUUCUUAACACCAAGUUUAGCAUCACUGUGACCAGUCGAACCCUAGAUCUGAUUGACGCAGUUUAUGGUUUUGAUUACUACAUUCUCAAGACUUCAAAACAAGACUUAAACUCAAAAUUUGGAAUGGAUCUGAAACGAGCAAUGCUUUUGAGAUUGGUGCGCAAGGACACUGAUUUAUACCCAGAGGAUCCAGUGAAGAAGGAGGCUGUUUAUUCCAAAUACAAGGAGUUUGUUAUUCCAGAGGAGGAAGCAGAGUGGGUAGGCCUCACCCUGGAAGAAGCUGUGGAAAAACAGAGGCUUUUGGAAAAGAAGGAACCAGUCCCACUGUUUAAAAUUUUUGCAGAAAAUCUGGUCCGGGAUCUUGAAGCUCAAAAACUGUCAGAGCCAGCUGCUGUUAACCGCAAAUCUUGAAGGAGGACACCGGAACAUGUGUAUACGAACCCUGGCCAGAGUAUUAUGGUAUAACAGCUGUUUAUUUUCAAGAACCAAAAUGUAUUUUAUACUUUUGUCUAGCAAUCCUCAGAAAGAACAUUCAGAAUGACCAUUCUAAAGAGGUGCCAUCUACAAACUAAGGCCCCCACAUGUGUUUUCAAGAACUUGACGGCAGAGUUUUAUUAUUGGAAACUGCAAGUGACAAGACGAGAGAGCUCGUCACAAGCGAUUGGGUGCAGCUUUGCUUGAAAGUCUUUUCUCAGAGUGGCUUUAAUACCCAUGGAAUAAAGACAGAAGACUAAAACGUAAGACCCACGUGCGCACGUCCAUUCUGGUUAAUACAGAGGACUUCUGUUCCGGCUCUCCCUGAAUGACCUAUGAUGUCAUCCCCUCUUCUCCUUCCAUCAACGUCACAUCUGCCUUUGAUUUCCUUCAUUUGUAUUUCCUGUCACGUAAA